CAAACCCUUAAGUCAAACCACCGACAAGACAACGAUGAGAAGGGGCGCGUGGCCGCCACAGGUUCAUCCCCAUCCCUCAAUCUUCCCUCACAACUCAUUUUACGUGGACAGCCGCCCACCAACAGCCUCAGGUCUCAACACAAUCAAAGCUUUUACUUAGCGAUUCUUCCUCAAGUUUCAGAACUCCACAAGGACCACAAAAAAAAAAAAAAAAGAAAGAAAGAAGAAAAACUCUGGCGUAUCUAUGGCGUCCAUGGCUAGUGCAAGUGUAGCUCCUGCUGGAUUCUCAUACGGCAGGCCUCCAUUUUCUGCUUCAGAGAAGCCGAGGAGAACGGUGGUGGUGAGGGCUGAAGCCGUAAACCCGGGUAUCAGGAAGACCGAAGACAAAGUGGUGGACUCUGUUGUUAUCACCGAACUGAAUAAGCCUCUCACUGCUUACUGCAGGCCAUAGCCAGGGGUUUUUGAUGACACAGUCAAAAUUCUUUUGAGCGGUGACGGAUUGGUUGACUUGUUGGAGCAAGUGUUGGCGGUCUGGGACUUUCCCUUUAUGCGAUGGAAGCCAUGUGAAGCACAAUAAGGCUACCGGAGACAAUGUUGGGCCUCUGCUAGUGAAGAAGCAGUGAAUGGUAAUGAUAUAGCACUAUACAUUCUCGAAUAUUCCAAACUUGGUGCAGCACAGUAUAUCGUGUUCUGUUGGGGAAAUCUUUGUAUGCUCUUAAUGUAAUAUGAUCUUUAUCUGGAGUUGUAAUAAUUCCUGUAGUGGAAAUUCCUUCUGAUUUUAACUAGUUCGAUCAGAACUUGCUUUGUUCAAGACCUAUGUAGUUUUAACGAGUAUCUAUUCUCCAUCCAUGAUCAAUCUUUACUUUUUCUA